rnacentral:rRNA from 1 species
GCAGUCGAACGGUAACAGGCCGCAAGGUGCUGACGAGUGGCGAACGGGUGAGUAAUGCAUCGGAACGUGCCCAGUAGUGGGGGAUAGCCCGGCGAAAGCCGGAUUAAUACCGCAUACGACCUAUGGGUGAAAGCGGGGGACCGAAAGGCCUCGCGCUAUUGGAGCGGCCGAUGUCAGAUUAGGUAGUUGGUGGGGUAAAGGCCUACCAAGCCUACGAUCUGUAGCUGGUCUGAGAGGACGACCAGCCACACUGGGACUGAGACACGGCCCAGACUCCUACGGGAGGCAGCAGUGGGGAAUUUUGGACAAUGGGCGCAAGCCUGAUCCAGCCAUGCCGCGUGCGGGAAGAAGGCCUUCGGGUUGUAAACCGCUUUUGUCAGGGAAGAAAUCUUCUGGGUUAAUACCUCGGGAGGAUGACGGUACCUGAAGAAUAAGCACCGGCUAACUACGUGCCAGCAGCCGCGGUAAUACGUAGGGUGCAAGCGUUAAUCGGAAUUACUGGGCGUAAAGCGUGCGCAGGCGGUUAUGUAAGACAGAUGUGAAAUCCCCGGGCUUAACCUGGGAACUGCAUUUGUGACUGCAUAGCUUGAGUGCGGCAGAGGGGGAUGGAAUUCCGCGUGUAGCAGUGAAAUGCGUAGAUAUGCGGAGGAACACCGAUGGCGAAGGCAAUCCCCUGGGCCUGCACUGACGCUCAUGCACGAAAGCGUGGGGAGCAAACAGGAUUAGAU